rnacentral:rRNA from 1 species
ACUCCUACGGGAGGCAGCAGUGGGGAAUAUUGGACAAUGGACCAAAAGUCUGAUCCAGCAAUUCUGUGUGCUCGAUGAAGGCCUUCGGGUUGUAAAGAGCUUUAAGUAGGGAAGAAGAAAGCGACGGUACCUACAGAAUAAGCGACGGCUAAAUACCGUGCCAGCAGCCGCGGUAAU